GAAUUGCGAUAAGUAAUGUGAAUUGCAGAUUUUCAGUGAAUCAUCGAAUCUUUGAACGCACCUUGCGCUCCUUGGUAUUCCGAGGAGCAUGCCUGUUUGAGUGUCAUUGAAUUCUCAACCAGCCUCGAUUUGCUUCGAGGCAUGGCUUGGACUUGGGGGCUGCUGGCGGCGAAGGCCGUCGGCUCUCCUUAAACGUAUCAAGCAAAAGGGUGUGCCAGACGUGCACGGCCUUCGACGUGAUAAUGAUCGUCGUGGCUGGAGCGUAGGGCACUACGGUCCCGUUGCUUUAACUAGGUUGACUUAGCUACUAGUCGGUCGAGAGGCCGGCGAACGCGGUCGCCGCCAUCGAAACUUGACCUCAAAUCAGGUAGGACUACCCGCUGAACUUAA
rnacentral:rRNA from 1 species